CUGUGGACAUCUGACACUGUGGUUCCUGCGUGAAAACGUAGCUGGUGGUACUGGGACCUACAGCACCACUUCUGCUGUCACAGUCAAGUCUGCC
rnacentral:miRNA from 1 species